GUUUCGAAUACUAGGUCGAAAUGUGCUGUGACAAUCGGAAUGUGCUGUGGACGAUUCACCGCCUCCCCUCUCCCUAUCCUAAUUACAUUUGUGAUUUGCCUAAAAUUUUUUAGAAUACCUUACGUUGCCACGUGUACCAUCCGUAGAUGGAUCUCACGUUUUACCGGACCGGCAAUUCUGUAGCAUUCGGCGAUUCUCUGAUGGAGCUUCAGGGAAUCAGGGGUUAAGACAUAACACAAUAACCCACAAACACAAAGGAUUCAAGGGAGUACGCCAAAACGUUGCCUCUCUGUAUUCGACAGCCUCGGUUGUCAGCCGUCCUCUCACUGCAUGGCACGUCAAUUUACCCAAAAAUGCAUCUACCACUGAUACUGAGCCCUUUUGAAUUUUGACCAAAAAUUUCCCGACCUGAAUCAUGUGCACAGCACAGGCUGUAUUCUCCCAAAUUUUCCGUCUCUCUUCCUGAUUAUCGUUAUCCGGAGUCCGGACCACAGUACCACACUACAGCAGUUACUCAACUUACUCCGUGUCCAAAUUCGACUGCAACCAUGGUUCUGUUACUGGGCCUGAAACCCUGCAGCAGUCUUCCUUUCUCACUUCGACAACCUCUGUCAUUCCCACAAAAAAACAGGCUUCGGUUAUUAAAUAGGAAGGCUAGAUUUCGGCUCUCUCCUCCUAUCGUCUGCCUUAAAAGCAGAGACAACCGUAUUUCUUCUCCUAAAUCUGCCUCAAUUGAUGGAUUCUCUGUGUCGAAAUUCUCAGGAGAGGUUACCGAUGGAGAGAACAAUGUUGGAUUUCUGGAGACUUGGCGAAGAUGGGUUGUGUUUCUUCGAUCGGUCGUGCCUGGAGGGAAUUGGUGGAGGUUAUCCGAUGAUGUCGAAGUAUUUACUACAGCAAAGCCUGUAACUGUAUUAUUUGCGCUUCGUCGGAUGUGGGAGCUGGUUGCCAACGAUAGAUGGAUUAUAUUCGCUGCAUUCGCUGCUCUAAUUCUUGCAGCGCUUUCGGAGAUCUCAAUACCACAUUUCUUAACAGCAUCAAUUUUCUCUGCACAGAGCGGUGAAACCAUGGUUUUCCGUAGAAAUGCACGACUCUUGAUUAUACUAUGUUUAUCUUCAGGAAUAUUCAGUGGUCUACGGGGUUGCUGUUUUGGUAUUGCAAACAUGAUCCUGGUUAAGCGCAUGAGAGAGAAACUGUAUGCAUCUCUUCUCUUCCAGGAAAUCUCCUUUUUCGACACAGAAACAGUUGGUGAUUUGACAAGUAGGCUUGGAGCAGAUUGUCAGCAAGUAUCUCGUGUUAUUGGAAAUGAUCUUAAUUUGAUACUACGCAAUGUUCUGCAGGGGACAGGUGCAUUGAUUUUUUUACUGACUUUAUCUUGGCGACUUGCAUUAGCUACAUUGGCAAUCUGCUCUGUUCUAGGAACAAUCAUGCUGCUCUACGGCCAGUACCAGAAAAAGGCAGCAAAAUUAACCCAAGAAUACACUGCUUGUGCCAAUGAAGUUGCACAAGAGACAUUUUCUUUGAUGAGAACUGUCCGAGUUUAUGGAACAGAGAAACAAGAAUUUAAAAGGUACAAGCAUUGGCUGAAUAAAUUAGCUGACAUAAGCUUGCGACAAAGUGUGGCAUAUGGUAUUUGGAAUCUAAGUUUCAACUCCCUCUAUCAUUCAACUCAGGUAAUAGCUGUGGUGGUAGGUGGAAUGUCAAUUAUGGCUGGUCAUAUAACUGCAGAGCAACUUACAAAGUUUAUAUUGUAUUGUGAAUGGUUGAUCUAUUCAACAUGGUGGGUGGGAGACAAUUUGUCAUCUUUAAUGCAGUCUGUUGGGGCAAGUGAAAAGGUCUUUCAAAUGAUGGAUCUAUUGCCUAGUAACCAAUUUGUAUCAGAAGGAGUGAAAUUGCAAAGGUUGAUGGGGCACAUUAAGUUUGUGAAUGUAUCAUUUCAUUAUCCUUCAAGGAUAACGGUACCUGUUUUACAACAUGUAAACAUUUCAGUACACCCAAAUGAAGUAGUUGCACUUGUUGGUCUUAGUGGUAGUGGGAAAAGCACAUUUGUUAAUCUUCUGCUUCGUCUGUAUGAACCAACAGAUGGCCAGAUACUAAUUGAUGGCUUUUGUCUUAAAGAGUUGGACAUCAAAUGGUUGAGAGAAAGAAUUGGAUACGUGGGACAGGAACCUCGUCUUUUCCGAAUGGAUGUCAAUUCAAAUAUAAGAUACGGAUGCACCAGAAACGUUAGUCAGGAAGAUAUUGAAUGGGCUGCUAAGCAGGCAUAUGCCCAUGACUUCAUCUUAUCUCUUCCCAAUGGUUACAAAACCCUCAUUGAUGAUGAUCUACUCAGUGGUGGACAAAAGCAACGGAUUGCCAUUGCAAGGGCCAUUCUUAGAGAUCCAGCCAUUUUAAUCCUUGAUGAGGCUACCAGUGCAUUAGAUGCAGAGAGUGAACAUUAUGUUAAGGGAGUUAUUCAUGCUGUCAGAAAUGACUCCAAGGCAAAGAGGACUGUCAUUAUCAUUGCACAUAGGUUAUCUACAAUACAAUCUGCUGAUAGAAUAAUUGUUAUGGAUGGUGGUAAAAUUGUUCAGAUUGGCAACCACAUGGAGCUUCUUCGCAAAGAUGGCUUAUACGCACGUUUAACAAAAAGACAGGUUGAUGCCUUUGAAUGAUCCAUGCAAUAGGAUGAUGUAACUGCAACUUUGUUUUACGGUUUUUAAGGACAAAACUCGAGUAAGCGAAGGAAAGGUUGAUGCCUUCAAAUGAUCGUGCAGUAGAAUGCUGAAUUGCAGGGUAAAUUAUAAAGACCUCGGUCUGUGAGAAAGACCCUCCUGUAUUAUGACCGUGAGACAAAGACUCCUUCCGUUAGACAAAGACAAGAAAGGAUAUUGCAGCAGCGACAAAGAAGGGGCAUUGUCGGCUUUGGCCACCACCACAUCCGGGAAUUUCUUCCAGGCUUCUUUUGAGUUCUGACUGAUGUAGAUUGUAUUUUUCUUUUAUGUUUAGAAAAAAUGGAUAUUAAUUUUUCUGUAAAAUUCGACCUCCAUGUAUAUAUAUUUCUGGACAAUCGGCUCUUCUUCCCUUGGCCCUUAGUCCUAACCAUUCUCUGUAAACGCUUACCUCUCAGCUUUCUUCUAUAAAAUUCCAUUUUUUUUUCCAAAAAUUUUCUGCUUGCAAUAUCCUUUCUUGAAUCCAAAUUUGUUUGUGAAAAAGCAGAGUAUUCAUGAAUUCCUGCAAAAAAGACUGUAGAUUGUCUCCUUAAAUCCCCCUCUAGUCAUCGUCUGCUUUUUAUUUCUCUGCGGAAACUGAAGUUCUUGUUGUAUUUUAUGAGAACUAGGUAUUGACCAACUGCUCAAAACCCACUUGUUGCAAUCUCCGUGAUCUCCUCAUAGAUUUACGAGAUACAAUGCCCCUUCUUUGUCGCAUCCAGAUUCCCCCUUUUGGUUAGGUACUGACAGUCUCUGAGGAGAUAAAGCACUGUUCAUCUUCCCCGUGAUCUCAUCCAGAUUCCCCCUUUUGGUUAGUCUAUUUAAGGCGGUAUUCCUGGGUCUUUCCUUGCAUGCGUUGAUCUUGAUCGGACUCGGCUCUUUGUUUUCUGUUUAUAUACACCUAUUUCAUCUCUUCAUUCUUUUUUGGGUGCGUGUUGUACUAACUUGGAUCUCCACAUCCCAUGGCCCCUAGUGGAGUCAUCGUUGGUUACCUAACCGGUGUCCCUUUGGAUA